UACAGAGGAUGCAAGCGUUAUCCGGAAUGAUUGGGCGUAAAGCGUCUGUAGGUGGCUUUUUAAGUCCGCCGUCAAAUCCCAGGGCUCAACUCUGGACAGGCGGUGGAAACUACCAAGCUGGAGUACGGUAGGGGCAGAGGGAAUUUCCGGUGGAGCGGUGAAAUGCGCAGAUAUCGGGAGGAACACCAGUGGCGAAGGCGGCACUCUGGGCCGGUACUGACGCUGAGGAGCGAAAGCGUGGGGAGCGAACAGG
rnacentral:rRNA from 1 species